GUCAGGAUGGUUGAGCUGUGUAAGUUGCUGUGUUCAAGUCGCAGUCUCCCCUGGAGUUGUGGUUUCAAAUCCCACUUCUGACA
rfam:Danio rerio chromosome 4, GRCz11 reference primary assembly.